AGCGAACGCUGGCGGCAGGCUUAACACAUGCAAGUCGAGCGCCUGUAGCAAUACAGGAGCGGCAGACGGGAGAGUAACACGUGGGAACGUACCCUUUGGUUCGGAACAACCCAGGGAAACUUGGACUAAUACCGGAUAAGCCCUAACGGGGAAAGAUUUAUCGCCAAAGGAUCGGCCCGCGUCUGAUUAGCUAGUUGGUGAGGUAACGGCUCACCAAGGCGACGAUCAGUAGCUGGUCGAGAGGAUGAUCAGCCUCACUGGGACUGAGACACGGCCCAGACUCCUACGGGAGGCAGCAGUGGGGAAUAUUGGACAAUGGGCGCAAGCCUGAUCCAGCCAUGCCGCGUGGGUGAUGAAGGCCUUAGGGUUGUAAAGCCCUUUCGGCGGGGAAGAUAAUGACGGUACCCGCAGAAGAAGCCCCGGCUAACUUCGUGCCAGCAGCCGCGGUAAG
rnacentral:rRNA from 1 species